CCUUCUCCCUCUCCUUUAAGGGUUAGCAGCCAAAGGAGUAGCUUCUGUGGAUGGAGGUUGUGCUCUUCUCAAGGCUGCCUCUGGUUAUUGGAAAGGGAGAUCCAGCAUGUAUAGUUUUCUGAAUAAGAGCUCAAGGAGCCACAGUACAUCGUUUCACCUUAGUGAAACAACCAAAGCCUAUCCAUCAGCCACGAGGAACAUAGAACUGAGACAACACAGGGUUGAAAAGGUCUUCCUAAUACAGUUCACAACAAGUGAGAUGAAUGAGCUACUCCCUUUUGCUGCAUCAUAUGCUUCAACACUGAACAAGCCACUAAUGCAACAAGAGAUUUACCAUAAGGGAAUUGACUGUAAAGCUCAUGGUCUUAAACUAGACAUCUUCCUCAUCCUCUUAUUCAUUGAUAUAAAGAGAUUUAAAUGGGUGACUUGUUCCAUUGUUUAAUUAGAAGUCUAUCUUAAAAUGAGAUUAACCUCUUUUUCAAAAUGCUUGUUGCUCCUACAGACACCAGUGGUGAUGUUUAUGUAUCUAUUGAUUUCUGAGGUGAACAUCAGUGAUAGAGCUGGGCAUGUUUUCUACAUGUUCCUCUCAAACAAAUCUCUAAAUAAUGGCCCCGAUCUCCAGAAAAUAUUCUAUUUUGAUGUGAAUUUGAAAAACUGUUAACUUCAUUGCUUUAUCCCAGCGUGUACCUGACAAACCUUGAAGAUCCAUAA